rnacentral:rRNA from 1 species
CACGUAGGGCGCAAGCGUUGUCCGGAAUUAUUGGGCGUAAAGAGCUCGUAGGUGGUUUGUUACGUCUGCUGUGAAAACCUAGGGCUUAACCCUGGGCUUGCAGUGGAUACGGGCAGACUAGAGGUAGGUAGGGGAGAAUGGAAUUCCUGGUGUAGCGGUGAAAUGCGCAGAUAUCAGGAGGAACACCGGUGGCGAAGGCGGUUCUCUGGGCCUUACCUGACGCUGAGGAGCGAAAGUGUGGGGAGCGAACAGG